rnacentral:rRNA from 1 species
AUUGAACGCUGGCGGCAGGCCUAACACAUGCGAGUCGAACGGUAACAGGAAACAGCUUGCUGUUUCGCUGACGAGUGGCGGACGGGUGAGUAAUGUCUGGGAAACUGCCUGAUGGAGGGGGAUAACUACUGGAAACGGUAGCUAAUACCGCAUAACGUCGCAAGACCAAAGAGGGGGACCUUCGGGCCUCUUGCCAUCGGAUGUGCCCAGAUGGGAUUAGCUAGUAGGUGGGGUAACGGCUCACCUAGGCGACGAUCCCUAGCUGGUCUGAGAGGAUGACCAGCCACACUGGAACUGAGACACGGUCCAGACUCCUACGGGAGGCAGCAGUGGGGAAUAUUGCACAAUGGGCGCAAGCCUGAUGCAGCCAUGCCGCGUGUAUGAAGAAGGCCUUCGGGUUGUAAAGUACUUUCAGCGGGGAGGAAGGGAGUAAAGUUAAUACCUUUGCUCAUUGACGUUACCCGCAGAAGAAGCACCGGCUAACUCCGUG